AUUUUUAAUUGAAAUCUGGUAUGAAAGGUUGAAUGAAAUAUAAACUUUAUUAAAUAUUUUAAUUGAAUUUUUUUUUUUAGUUAAAAAACUAAAUUAAUAUUAGGGGACGAGAAGACCCUAUAGAGUUUUAUUUUAAAAUAAUAAAUUAUAUUUAUUAAUAUUAAGAUUUAUUUAAAAAAUAAAUUUUGUUGGGGUGAUAUUAAAAUUUAAUUAACUUUUAAUUUUAUUUUUAUAAUAAUUUUUAUUAUAAUGAUCCAAUUAAAUUGAUUAAAAAAUUAAAUUACCUUAGGGAUAACAGCAUAAUUUUAUUAUAAAGUUCUAAUUUCUAAUAAAGAUUAU
rnacentral:rRNA from 1 species